GGGUGGCGAGUGGCGGACGGGUGAGGAAUACAUCGGAAUCUACUUUUUCGUGGGGGAUAACGUAGGGAAACUUACGCUAAUACCGCAUACGACCUACGGGUGAAAGCAGGGGACCUUCGGGCCUUGCGCGAUUGAAUGAGCCGAUGUCGGAUUAGCUAGUUGGCGGGGUAAAGGCCCACCAAGGCGACGAUCCGUAGCUGGUCUGAGAGGAUGAUCAGCCACACUGGAACUGAGACACGGUCCAGACUCCUACGGGAGGCAGCAGUGGGGAAUAUUGGACAAUGGGCGCAAGCCUGAUCCAGCCAUACCGCGUGGGUGAAGAAGGCCUUCGGGUUGUAAAGCCCUUUUGUUGGGAAAGAAAUCCAGCCGGCUAAUACCUGGUUGGGAUGACGGUACCCAAAGAAUAAGCACCGGCUAACUUCGUGCCAGCAGCCGCGGUAAUAC
rnacentral:rRNA from 1 species